CACGAGUUCCGUGCCGCAGCUAACGCAUUAAGCGCCCCGCCUGGGGAGUACGGCCGCAAGGCUAAAACUCAAAGGAAUUGACGGGGGCCCGCACAAGCGGCGGAGCAUGCGGAUUAAUUCGAUGCAACGCGAAGAACCUUACCAAGGCUUGACAUAUACCGGAAACGUCCAGAGAUGGGCGCCCCGCAAGGUCGGUAUACAGGUGGUGCAUGGUUGUCGUCAGCUCGUGUCGUGAGAUGUUGGGUUAAGUCCCGCAACGAGCGCAACCCUCGUUCUAUGUUGCCAGCACGUGAUGGUGGGGACUCAUAGGAGACUGCCGGGGUCAACUCGGAGGAAGGUGGGGAUGACGUCAAAUCAUCAUGCCCCUUACGUCUUGGGCUUCACGCAUGCUACAAUGGCCGGUACAAAGGGCUGCGAUACCGUAAGGUGGAGCGAAUCCCAAAAAACCGGUCUCAGUUCGGAUUGGGGUCUGCAACUCGACCCCAUGAAGUCGGAGUCGCUAGUAAUCGCAGAUCAGCAACGCUGCGGUGAAUACGUUCCCGGGCCUUGUACACACCGCCCGUCAAGUCACGAAAGUCGGUAACACCCGAAGCCGGUGG
rnacentral:rRNA from 1 species